UACGUAGGGUCCAAGCGUUAAUCGGAAUUACUGGGCGUAAAGCGUGCGCAGGCGGUUCGCUAAGUCAGCUGUGAAAGCCCCGGGCUCAACCUGGGAAUGGCGGUUGAAACUGGCGAACUUGAAUCUGGCAGAGGGGGGUGGAAUUCCACGUGUAGCAGUGAAAUGCGUAGAGAUGUGGAGGAACACCGAUGGCGAAGGCAGCCCCCUGGGCUGAGAUUGACGCUCAGGCACGAAAGCGUGGGGAGCAAACAGG
rnacentral:rRNA from 1 species